GCCCCUACCCCGUGUCAGAUGGAGUUUGCCUGCUGGGAACUAGGGGCCUGCUGGGGUCUCAGUUCUUGGCUGGCCCUGGAACACGAGGUUGCCAGGUGUGUGACGGCAGCAGGUAGGAGUGACCCGCUGGUGCAGUGAUGAGCGGGAAAGCACAGGAAGGACAGCGGCUGUUGGCCUGUGAACCUAGGCAAGAAUGACCAGCCGACACGGUCCAGACCGAGGUCCGUGGGCCCAGCUUGGUCCUCUGUGGCUGGUCAGUGGGACAGACCUGCAGGUGUGGCUCCUGUCACUCUAGGACUGGCUUCAGGACAGAUCCGGCCGGAAGAGCCCAGGGCACCGCCCUCGGUUCUCCAGGAGAGUGCGCCGGCGUGGAGCCAGGAGGGGUGUGCGCGACUCAGCACGGGGGCCGUGCGCCUCCAGUCUGCCGCAAGGGCAGUGGGGAGCCGGGGGAAGUCAUGGCCUUGUGAAUGUCCUCUGAUGGAAAGGAACCUGCGGGCUUAAUAAAAUAGCUUGUGUGUGGAACGUCGGUGUGCUGCAAAGCAGUUGUGUGUGCUUUCCCCCUUGGUGUGGCUCAGCGGUGCCGAGGCAGCAGGCGCGAUACAGAACUGAGCAGAGACCUUCUGGAAUCCCCAGACUCCAGGGAAACUGAAGGUGACGGCCAGCCUAGUGAAGAGGACAGGAUGCGGGGGCGGGGGCGGCAGCCCAGCAGGCGCCCCUCGUCUCAGGGCCCUAAUCCUGGCUCCAGCCCGCUGGUCAGGGGAGCUGCACGGUCUCCUGGGUGAGCAGAGCCCACAGUCCUGAGCCGUUCUUCCCUGUGUUGGGUCAUCUCCCCCCAUCCAAGGGGAGAAAUCUAGAUGAGGUUUAAGAACUAGUGCUUUAAGAAUGUGGAUCUCAUAGUUGAAACCUCGGAACACGUGUCUUCAGCACAAGCUGUUAAAGUGAACGGAAGGAUUCAGCCCCUUUUCCAGGAGGGUGUCUCCAUGUGGGCAGAACUAGAGAAUAAAUGGGUCUUGAAUAAAC